UUCCGGGUUACAUUUCUAGUAAUAAGUGAAUAGUUAUAUCAGAAAGAAACAAUUGCUUGCCUUUUUAUAAUAUAUAUGAUAUUUGUGGAAGAGAUGCAACAAGUGAGAAAAUUUCAUACGUAUCAACGCUUCCAGUUAAAACGAAGGAUCGAAAUUUUCAUCUUCAAUGCCCAUCUUUGGCAGGAGAAUAUUACACAUUGCCACGGUGAGAAGCGAGGAACGCGUUAACGGACCUGUGCGUCGAAUUGGAAAGAGGCUGGAAGAGGCUGAAAGAGGCUGGAAGAGCGAAACGCGAAUCUAAUGCGAGUCAUUCCGCGUGGUUCUCCUGGCUGCGCAUGGAAGAAAGCGGAGG